AAGGCGGGGGAUCUUCGGACCUCGCGCUAUUGGAGCGGCCGAUGUCGGAUUAGCUAGUAGGUGAGGUAAAGGCUCACCUAGGCGACGAUCCGUAGCUGGUCUGAGAGGAUGAUCAGCCACACUGGGACUGAGACACGGCCCAGACUCCUACGGGAGGCAGCAGUGGGGAAUUUUGGACAAUGGGCGCAAGCCUGAUCCAGCCAUGCCGCGUGAGUGAAGAAGGCCUUCGGGUUGUAAAGCUCUUUCAGGUGGAAAGAAAUAGCGCUGUUUAAUAGAUGGCGUUGAUGACGGUACCACCAGAAGAAGCACCGGCUAACUACGUG
rnacentral:rRNA from 1 species